rnacentral:rRNA from 1 species
AGGACGAACGCUGGCGGCGUGCUUAACACAUGCAAGUCGAGCGGUAAGGCCUUUCGGGGUACACGAGCGGCGAACGGGUGAGUAACACGUGGGUGAUCUGCCCUGCACUCUGGGAUAAGCCUGGGAAACUGGGUCUAAUACCGGAUAUGACCUGCUCUCGCAUGGGGGUGGUGAAAGAUUUAUCGGUGCAGGAUGGGCCCGCGGCCUAUCAGCUUGUGGUGGGUAAUGGCCUACCAAGGCGACGACGGUAGCCGACUGAGAGGGUGACCGGCCACGACGUGGGACUGAGACACGGCCCAGACUCCGUACGGGAGCAGCAGUGGGAAUAUGCACAAGUGGCAAAGCCUGAUGCAGCGACGCCGCGUGA